UGGGGAAUAUUGCGCAAUGGGCGAAAGCCUGACGCAGCGACGCAGCGUGAGGGAUGAAGGCCUUCGGGUUGUAAACCUCUUUCAGCGGGGACGAAGCGAAAGUGACGGUACCCGCAGAAGAAGCACCGGCUAACUACGUGCCAGCAGCCGCGGUAAUACGUAGGGUGCAAGCAUUGUCCGGAUUUAUUGGGCGUAAAGAGCUCGUAGGCGGCUUGUCACGUCGGAUGUGAAAACUCGGGGCUCAACCCCGAGCCUGCAUUCGAUACGGGCUAGCUAGAGUGUUGCAGGGGAGACUGGAAUUCCUGGUGUAGCGGUGAAAUGCGCAGAUAUCAGGAGGAACACCGGUGGCGAAGGCGGGUCUCUGGGCAACUACUGACGCUGAGGAGCGAAAGCGUGGGGAGCGAACA
rnacentral:rRNA from 2 species